UAAGGAAUAUUGGUCAAUGGACGGAAGUCUGAACCAGCCAUGCCGCGUGGAGGAUGAAGGUCCUCUGGAUUGUAAACUUCUUUUAUAGGGGGCGAAAAAGGGCCAUUCUUGGUCAACUGACGGUACCCUAUGAAUAAGCACCGGCUAACUCCGUGCCAGCAGCCGCGGUAAUACGGAGGGUGCAAGCGUUAUCCGGAUUUACUGGGUUUAAAGGGAGCGUAGGCGGAUUGGUAAGUCAGUGGUGAAAGCCCUCAGCUUAACUGAGGAAUUGCCGUUGAUACUAUCAAUCUUGAAUGUUGUGGAGGUUUGCGGAAUAGGUCAUGUAGCGGUGAAAUGCUUAGAUAUGACCUGGAACACCUAUUGCGAAGGCAGCAGGCUACACAAAUAUUGACGCUGAGGC
rnacentral:rRNA from 1 species